rnacentral:rRNA from 1 species
CGUGUAGGCGGAGAUGCAAGUCAGGAGUGAAAUCCCGGGGCUCAACCCCGGAACUGCUUUUGAAACUGCAUCCCUUGAGUGUCGGAGAGGCAAGCGGAAUUCCUAGUGUAGCGGUGAAAUGCGUAGAUAUUAGGAGGAACACCAGUGGCGAAGGCGGCUUGCUGGACGAUAACUGACGCUGAGGCGCGAAAGCGUGGGGAGCAAACA